rnacentral:rRNA from 1 species
CAAAGUAGUAACUGCUGUUAUAAGGAAGAAAAAUCAAAUAGGAAAUGAUUUGAUCUUGACGGUACCUUAUUAGAAAGCGACGGCAAACUAUGUGCCAGCAGCCGCGGUAAUACAUAGGUCGCAAGCGUUAUCCGGAAUUAUUGGGCGUAAAGCGUCCGUAGGUUUUUUGUUAAGUUUAAGGUUAAAUACUGAAGCUCAACUUCAGCCCGCUUUAGAUACUGGCAAAAUAGAAUUAUGAAGAGGUUAGCGGAAUUCCUAGUGUAGCGGUGGAAUGCGUAGAUAUUAGGAAGAACACCAAUAGGCGAAGGCAGCUAACUGGUCAUACUUUGACACUAAGGGACGAAAGCGUGGGGAGCAAACAGGAUUAAAUACCCUGGUAGUCCACGCUGUAAACGAUGAUCAUUAGUUGGUGGUAUUAAAUCACUAACACAGCUAACGCGUUAAAUGAUCCGCCUGAGUAGUAUGCUCGCAAGAGUGAAACUUAAAGGAAUUGACGGGAACCCGCACAAGCGGUGGAGCAUGUGGUUUAAUUUGAAAAUACGCGUAGAACCUUUACCCACUCUUGACAUCCUUGCAAAGCUAUAGAGAUAUAGUGGAGGUUAAACAAGAUGACAGAUGGGUGCAUGGUUGUCGUCAGCUCGUGUCGUGAGAUGUUAGGUUAAGUCCUGCAACGAGCGCCACCCCCUUUUCUUUAGUUUACUAACGUGAAAGACGAGGACUCCUAAAAAAUAA